AUGGCUAAGGCGCAGCUUCGAGCGCUCGGAGCGAUACGUCUGUUGCGCGGGAGUCGCGGCCACGCGGUUCCAGUCCAGGGGCUCCUGCAGCAGGAAAGAUCAGCUGUUGGAGAACCCGUGCAAAGCCCUGGGGGAGAGCCAUGGCCGCAAGGUAAUCAGCAGGCAAAGUUAUUACCAUUAUGCUGCUAAUUAAUUCCCAGCUCAUUACGUUUCC
rnacentral:lncRNA from 1 species